rnacentral:tmRNA from 1 species
GUUCUUCUAAAACCCGCGCGUCGCCCCUAUAUUGGCGGUGUCGGGGUUCGCCCCGACUAUGGAGAUAAACGCGCACGUAAUAAGCGGACUGGACCCGGGUGCGAUUCCCGGCGGCUCCACCAAAUCCUUCCUCGGCAGUUGUCGCCGGAAGCAUGGGGCCGAUCAGCAUCGACAGACGUCUAAAGGUGUUGCUUUCUCUCGGCUUGGCCCACCGUUUCGGGCUUUAAACUAAAUGCGAACGACAACUUCGCUGAAGAAGUCCGUCUGGCUGCGUAAGCGGUCCGAUAGAUUUCGACCUAAACUCCUAGUGUCUUAGCAGCGCUAGGCGGGGCCCGGAGGGGGCCUUGCAACAGAACCCCUCCACC